GCCGAGGUAGCUCAGUGGUAGAGCUUUCGCCUGAAGAGCGAUAGGUCGGCAGUCCGAUUCUGCCCCUCGGCA
rnacentral:tRNA from 1 species